AGAGUUUGAUCCUGGCUCAGGAUGAACGCUAGCGGCAGGCUUAACACAUGCAAGUCGAGGGGUAGAAAUAGCUUGCUAUUUUGAGACCGGCGCACGGGUGCGUAACGCGUAUGCAAUCUGCCUUUUGCAAAGGGAUAGCCCAGAGAAAUUUGGAUUAAUACCUUAUAGUAUAUUGAUGUGGCAUCACAUUAUUAUUAAAGAUUUAUCGGCAAAAGAUGAGCAUGCGUCCCAUUAGCUUGUUGGUAAGGUAACGGCUUACCAAGGCAACGAUGGGUAGGGGUCCUGAGAGGGAGAUCCCCCACACUGGUACUGAGACACGGACCAGACUCCUACGGGAGGCAGCAGUGAGGAAUAUUGGACAAUGGGCGCAAGCCUGAUCCAGCCAUGCCGCGUGCAGGAUGACGGUCCUAUGGAUUGUAAACUGCUUUUAUACGGGAAGAAACCCUGGCUCGUGAGCCAGACUGACGGUACCGUAAGAAUAAGGAUCGGCUAACUCCGUGCCAGCAGCCGCGGUAAUACGGAGGAUCCAAGCGUUAUCCGGAAUCAUUGGGUUUAAAGGGUCCGUAGGCGGCCCAGUAAGUCAGUGGUGAAAUCUCCCGGCUCAACCGGGAAAUGGCCAUUGAUACUGCUGGGCUUGAAUUAUUAGGAAGUAACUAGAAUAUGUAGUGUAGCGGUGAAAUGCUUAGAUAUUACAUGGAAUACCGAUUGCGAAGGCAGGUUACUACUAAUUGAUUGACGCUGAUGGACGAAAGCGUGGGUAGCGAACAGGAUUAGAUACCCUGGUAGUCCACGCCGUAAACGAUGGAUACUAGCUGUUGGGCGCAAGCUCAGUGGCUAAGCGAAAGUGAUAAGUAUCCCACCUGGGGAGUACGAACGCAAGUUUGAAACUCAAAGGAAUUGACGG
rnacentral:rRNA from 1 species